AGCUGGGACUACAGGCAUGCACCACCACACCCAGCUAAUUUUUUUGUAUUUUUUUAGUAGAGAUGGGGUUUCACCAUGUUGGCCGGGAUGGUCUCGAUCUCCUGACCUUGUGAUCUGCCCGUCUUGGCCUCCCAACGUGCUGGGAUUACAGUAGAGAUGGGUUUUCACCGUGGUCUCGAUCUCCUGACCUCAUGAUCCGCCCUCCUUGGCCUCCCAAAGUGCUGGGAUUACAGGUGUGAGCCACCGCGCCCAGCCCCAGCUGACAUCUUGACCACCACAACCUCACAGGAGAUCCUGAGCCUGAACCACUCAGGCUCAAGCGAUUCUGUCUCCCUUGCCCUCAUCCUCUCCGUGGGCUGCCAUUGUGCAUAUACUCAAGUCUAAAUUGCAAC